rnacentral:rRNA from 1 species
AUGUUAGCGGCGGACGGGUGAGUAACACGUGAGUAACCUGCCCUUGACUUUGGGAUAACUUCAGGAAACUGGGGCUAAUACCGGAUAGGAGCUCCUGCUGCAUGGUGGGGGUUGGAAAGUUUCGGCGGUUGGGGAUGGACUCGCGGCUUAUCAGCUUGUUGGUGGGGUAGUGGCUUACCAAGGCUUUGACGGGUAGCCGGCCUGAGAGGGUGACCGGCCACAUUGGGACUGAGAUACGGCCCAG